CUACGGGUCGCACCAGUGGGGAAUAUUGGACAAUGGGGGAAACCCUGAUCCAGCAAUGCCGCGUGUGUGAAGAAGGCCUGCGGGUUGUAAAGCACUUUCGGUUGGGAGGACUGCUUCUAGCACUAAUAUUGUUGGAAGUUGACGUUACCUUCAGAAGAAGCACCGGCUAACUCCGUGCCAGCAGCCGCGGUAAUACGGAGGGUGCAAGCGUUAAUCGGAAUUACUGGGCGUAAAGCGCGCGUAGGCGGCUAGAUCAGUCGGGUGUGAAAGCCCCGGGCUUAACCGGGGAACUGCAUCCGAUACUGUCUAGCUUGAGUACAGGAGAGGAGAGUGGAAUUCCACAUGUAGCGGUGAAAUGCGUAGAUAUGUGGAGGAACACCAAUGGCGAAGGCAGCUCUCUGGCCUGAUACUGACGCUGAGGUGUGAAAGCGUGGGGAGCAAACAGGAUUAGAUACCCCAGUAGUC
rnacentral:rRNA from 1 species